rnacentral:tRNA from 1 species
GCAUUGGUGGUUCAGUGGUCAGACUCUCACCUUCCAUGUGGGAGACCUGGGUUUGGUUCCCAGCUAAUGCC